AGGGGAGUAACAAGCUGCUGUGGGUUGAGUUUGCACGUGCAUGGAGCCGUGCGCGCCGGCGCUUGAUGUUUUCGCACCACUCAUCUGGAAGGUAAAGGGAAAGAAAGUAAAAACACAUGACAAGUUUGACGUGUCCUUAUCUGAGGAUGGACCUUCACUUUGAAGAUUAAGGACGUGCGAGUCAGUGCCACCGGACACGACACUGCCGGCGCUGGAGGCCUCACUGCCAUCGUGGACCACAGUAUUUCUCAGGCUUCAACAAGUGUUUUUUUUGUUAUGCUUUAUUUUUUUUAGUGGGGGGUUUUCCCAAAAGGGUUGUGAGCUGCUGCUUUAGUGAAACUAAUUUGGACCUAUCGUCCAAAUGAAGACGCAUGGGUAGCAUCAUAAAUCCUCCUAGUGCUGAGUUGAAAGGGAGCCAACAAAGUCCCUGCACACAACAAGCUCAUUUAUUACAGCUGUGUCUAACAAGAUGCUCACAUGCCCAACGUGCAAGCUGGGACACGCAAAUGUCUUCACAAGGACAUGUGGCUGUCCUCUGGGGUUCCAGGAACAGAAGCAUAGUAAUGUAGGUUGUGUUAAUUACAGUCGCUCCUGAGAAGAGAAGUAUCUGCCGUGUGUGAGAGAUGAAAUAUAUAAAGAACAAACCUAAUAAAUUGGUACAAAAAUCAAUUAAUCCUGUUUUAAAAAUUUCAGUUAAUGUGAUUAAUGCUUUGUUUUUAAUACAUACAUUUCUUUAAAAGUUAAGCAUGCUACUUAAGGUAAAAGAAACCCUGAAGUGAGUCCCUUACUUUUAUUACCGGCCUUUUUUCUACUUUCAUCCAGGGAUUCCCACCAAGUGUACCAGCCACUUUAAGAACAUGCGAGAGUGCGAGAUGAGCACCGAGGAGGGACGGGUGACAUCACGGGACAGAAAGAGGACGCAAGGUGAUCAUCGACGGCUGCGAAGUGACGGACGAGGCAGAGUUCUCGUCACCUGCACUCAGCACAAUGACGCCCAGGAACACACGUCACUUCUGCCCGACUGACCACUUUUUCUUUAUCGGUGUCAGUGUCACUUUUGUUUGUGUCGUGCUGGAGCGGAUGUCAAAGCUCGGUGUCCUACAGUCUCCCGUGCAGAGCUGUUGUGCUUGAUGGUGAGAAGAAUGGAGUGUGGCUGAAAGAUGAAAGAGUCUCUUUGUCAGUUCUCAAAUGCCCCCUUCUUCUACCAAAUGAUGUGGCAGAGGGUUUUUUUGUCAUGCAAACACUUGGCUCCAGUCAUGAAGCUGUGGUUGAUCCACCACUUCUGUCCCGACUAAAAUAUCCCAACAUCUGCUCUACAGAUUGGCACACAUGAAUGGGUCGCAGGUUUAAUCAUAAUACUUUUGGUGAUACCAUAACCUGUUCUUUACAGGCACAUUAGUUUAAAUCUCGACAAUAUGAAGGACUGCUAGAUUUCGCCAAAAAUUGGUGCAGAUAUAUACGGUCGGAAGAGGAAGAUUUUUUUUCCUCAAUAACACAUUGUUUGCAUGUAACAUUGACAGAUUUAUGAGCUGAUCUUCUCUGGUAUGACUUUCAUGAUGGGGGGGUUCCCCUCCAGGGCCAAUGGGGCUGAGACGGAGGCUGUGUGCUCACUAGUGCAGAUGAUUGAGAUGAGAGACUAAUUGAAGGAAGCUUCCUGCCACAAUAUCAGUCACGCAAAUCACAUCUCAAACUACAUCAAUCUCAUUCUCCAGAAAUGGGUUUCUCUGUGCUGGACAUGUUGGGGGGCCCAAGCUGUGACAGUGAAGGCCGGCCAGAAACCACCAUUAAGAUCCCCUUCAAAGGCAAACCAGCCGCCUGAGGUCACACGGCACAAGGAUGGUCGCGGAGGUCAUGGAGGACGAGAGGACCCCGGCAGUGAGUACAGCUGAGAGCACCUCGCUAGUUCCCAGCAGGUGGGUGAGCAGAGGCGGGCGUCAUCAACUCAAACAUGUUGUGAUCUUUGCAGAAGGUCAAAGACAGCUACAUGCUGCCGUUGCCAACUUACACCCCCAAUGCGAUUGGCCGGACACGACACAUAUUUGGGAUUCAGAAGUAAAAGCUGUCUACUUUAAUGCAGGUUUUAAAUACUACAGAACAUCCUAAGCCUCCUGAGAGUAAGCUAGAGUUCAUCGAGCUAUAUGUAAAGUGUAUUAAUUAAAAAAUGAUUUUUUAAUAAUUUAAAAGUAAUUUUAUGGUUGAUUUAUUUGGAUGAGAAAAUGCUGUUUUUCUCCCAUGGAUAAUUUCUGGUAAUGGCAAUGUAACAAACGGCCACUAGAGGUCAGACUCGCUCCAAUUCUUGUGUAGAGAUUGUGGUCCAGGAGGACACUGAAGUUUGUGCUGGAGGGAUUUUUUCUUGUGGAUGAAGACAAGGAUUGAAUACAUGCACGGUGCAUCAUAUAAACACAGACGCAUGUCCUUUUGUUUGAGGACAGACACACAUUGGCAUGCACGCUGACAAUUACACAAUCAGCCAAAAUCUUACCUCCCUUGUGUUCAAUAGAUUAGCUUUUUCAUCCGUAUAACAUGCAAAGCCAGUCCACAGCUUUUAUGAAACACCGUCUUCUUUUCCCUUUUGUGGUUAAAUCUGCUUUCUAGAUGAAUCGAAAAGAACAAAUGCCCACAAGUAUACCUAAAACAAAAAAUGGAAGUGAUUUCAUCUGCCGUCCUGUGGAUUUGAUGUUGUAUUUAGUAUUUAGCUCUCUGUCUGGAACAUUUCUGGAUCUGAAAUGACGAGCUCAGCUUUGCAUCUGUUAUCAUCCACAUCACAAAAUGCUGUGAAGCGUCUGCAAAUCUUUCUUCUUUCUUCGGAAUAUCGACGGAAAGUAUCUGUUAGCAAAUCCAUUGAAGUCAUUUACAGAAACCAUGCAGCCAAUUUAAACUCCAUGUUGUUUCUGGGGGCUUUUUGCAUUUAUUAAUGCAGUCUGAACUUAUGUCAGUGAAACAAAUAGUUAAAAGUCAGAUUGAGGCCAGGCGACACACUUGGAAUGUUUAUGCUUUAGCCAUUACAAGCUCACUGGGAGCCUUAAAAUGUAAAAAGUAAACACUGUUCAACCAGUAUUUUUAACACAGAUUUUAUUUGAGCCUUUGAGACUGAAAUUUCUCCUUUUACUUUCAAACCGCUUUGUGUGAUGGCUUCCCUCUGGGUCGAAGAGGCUUUGACAGCCUCCGAAUGGGCCUCGCCUCCUGCUGGUCCGCUGCUCCCCUGAGAAAGGGAGCGUGGUCCGGCGGAGAGCUGCCAAAUAGACUUGAGAGAGGUCACGACCCCUUUCCACCCUGACGUCAGUGCGCUGGCUGAAGCGAACUCAAGCGUUUCUACACAGCCACCACGGUACGACUGGCAUCGCCUGGUUACCAGGCUUAAGUAAAUUAAGCACCGACUGGCGCUAGAAGGAGAAGAAUAAAACAAUAUUAUACUCCGGGAGGAUCAAUUGUCAUGUCUUCCAUCUAUUGAGACCAUAGGUGCUAAUGAAUGAGGCUCAUUUGGAAGGAAUUGGCUCUACUCUGUGAGGUGUGUGCGUGCAUAAAGAAAAGAACAAGCAGAACAAACGAGAAGGCGAGAGGAAGUCCUGGUGGUUUCCAAGGAGUUGAAGCCUCCCGAGAGCACAUUUUCUACCUCGGCCAGACAAAAGAAUGCAGCUGUAGCUACAAGAACGGAGCUCUGCCCACAGCUUCUGUAGAAAUACAAAAUGCUGACCGGGCGUUAAGAUCAGCACUUUUAAUGAGGUACAAUUGAUUCUAGUAAACAAACAGAAAAGUCCAAAAUGUUGAAGUUGCAUUGUCUUUGCAUUUAUUUUUUCCAAUAGAUAUUCACAUUCAUAUCAGUUUCACUACAGCAAAGGAACUAUUUCAUCUCUACGGUCAUGAAAAAAAAAAUGAAGAUUUUAUUUCAUGAAGAAAUAAAAACAAGAGAUAAAUAAAAGAAACAGACAUUUGUUCAUGAAAUGAGGUCAGGACCUUCAAAAAAGAAAAGAUUUUUGUGGAAAACACACCCAGCUCUUACCACAGAGACAGGCAAAAACAGUAUUUGGAUAAAAGUAAAAGGAGAUUUAAUAUAUAUUUAAAAGCUUGUAACACUUCAAGAGCUAUUAUUAUCUUUUGAAACCAAAAAUGAUCCCACGCCAAUGCCUCCCUUUAUUGUGACUAACCCUCAACAUCAAAACCAACUUCUGGUUUAUCUCUUGAUGUAAGGGAUAAUAUACUAAAAAGGUUUACAGUACACAACAAACCCUACAGCUGCUGGGAGAGAGAUUGACUGGCCUGGCUCUGAUUACAGAGAAGUGCAGCACACAGUGGAUUCAGAUUGAUAAUACAAAGAGAACAUGUCACCACCUUUACACACACGUCGUAGGGCCGACUCUGAUGGAGGAGCAGGCGUCAAUCGUGCACUUUUCCAUCCAUCACCGCAGAUGGGUGGUGUUGGCCUGGAUGAGUCAGUUCAACCCACUCGACACGCGUGACUAAGGUCUGUGCAGACGUUACGGCUCAGCCUCAGGUGACACAUCCCGGGACACAACGGCAAAAAGAAGCAGAGGGAAGAGGUUCAAUCGGGAGG